GACCCCAAAGUGACCCUAUGGAGACCCCAAAGGGACCCCAUAAUGAUCACAGGGGGACCCCAUAGUGACACCAUGAGGGCCCCAAAAUGACCCCAAAGGGAUCCCAUGGGAACCCUAAAAUGACCCUAAAGGGACCCCAUGGGGACCCCAAAGUGACACCACGGAGACCCCAUGGAGACCCCAAAGGGACCCCAAGAUGGCCCUAAAGUGGCCCCACAGGGACCCCACAUCAACCCCAUAGUGACACCAUGGAGACCCCAAAGUGACCCCAAAGAGACCCUAUAGUGACCCCAUGGAGACCUCAAAGGGACCCCAUAAUGAUCCCAUGGGGACCCCAUAGUGACACCAUGAGGGCCCCAAAAUGACCCCAAAGUGACACUAUGGGGACCCCAAAGGGACCCCAAAAGGGCCCAAAAUGACCCCAUAGUGACAGCACAGGGACCCCAAAGUGAUCCUAUGGGGGCCCCAAAGUGACCCCAUAGUGACCCCAUGAGGGUCCCAAAAUGACCCCACAAGGACCCCAAAGUGACACCAUGGGGACCCCACAGAGACCCCAUAGUGACCCAAUGAGGGUCCCUAAAUGACCCCAUAGUGACAGCACAGGGACCCCAAAGUGACCCCAUAGUGACACCAUGAGGGUCCCUAAAUGACCCCAAAGUGAUCCCAUGGGGACCCUAAAAUGACCCCACAGGGACCCCAUAGUGACCAUUAGAUCCUAUAGAGGUCCCACACUGACCCCACGGGUGAUCCGUGCCCCAUAGCGGCCCCUUUUGGGGGUCCCAGCCCCACCCCAUAGCGCCCCAUGGCGGCACGGGGCAGUGGGGGGGGGCGACGAUGACAUGGGAAUAACCCCAUAACAAUAAAUGACCCCAAAGAUCCCAGUGUGGGGUGAAGGGGAUCGUGAAGGUCCCAA